rnacentral:rRNA from 1 species
AUGCGGCGGCUACCCAUGCAGUCGAGGGGUAACAUAGAAAAGCUUGCUUUUCUGAUGACGACCGGCGCACGGGUGCGUAACGCGUAUACAACCUACCUUUUAGCGGGGAAUAGCCCAGGGAAACUUGGAUUAAUGCCCCAUAGUAUAUAGACUUCUCCUGAAGUUUAUAUUAAACAUUUAUGGCUAUUAGAUGGGUAUGCGUCCUAUUAGUUAGUUGGUAAGGUAACGGCUUACCAAGGCAGCGAUAGGUAGGGGUCCUGAGAGGGAGAUCCCCCACACUGGUACUGAGACACGGACCAGACUCCUACGGGAGGCAGCAGUGAGGAAUAUUGGACAAUGGGCGAGAGCCUGAUCCAGCCAUGCCGCGUGCAGGAAGACUGCCCUAUGGGUUGUAAACUGCUUUUACAGAGGAAGAACCACCCCCACGUGUGGGGGUUUGACGGUACUCUGCGAAUAAGGAUCGGCUAACUCCGUGCCAGCAGCCGCGGUAAUACGGAGGAUCCAAGCGUUAUCCGGAAUCAUUGGGUUUAAAGGGUCCGUAGGCGGGCAGUUAAGUCAGUGGUGAAAGUCUUCCGCUCAACGGGAGAACUGCCAUUGAUACUGAUUGUCUUGAGUUAUUAUGAAGUGGUUAGAAUGAGUAGUGUAGCGGUGAAAUGCAUAGAUAUUACUCAGAAUACCGAUUGCGAAGGCAGAUCACUAAUAAUAUACUGACGCUGAUGGACGAAAGCGUAGGUAGCGAACAGGAUUAGAUACCCUGGUAGUCUACGCCGUAAACGAUGGUUACUAGCUGUUCGGCCCAAUUGAGGGCUGAGUGGUUAAGCGAAAGUGAUAAGUAACCCACCUGGGGAGUACGUUCGCAAGAAUGAAACUCAAAGGAAUUGACGGGGGCCCGCACAAGCGGUGGAGCAUGUGGUUUAAUUCGAUGAUACGCGAGGAACCUUACCAGGGCUUAAAUGUAGUCUGACAGGUCUGGAAACAGACUUUUCUUCGGACAGAUUACAAGGUGCUGCAUGGUUGUCGUCAGCUCGUGCCGUGAGGUGUCAGGUUAAGUCCUAUAACGAGCGCAACCCCUGUGGUUAGUUGCCAGCGAGUAAUGUCGGGAACUCUAGCCAGACUGCCGGUGCAAACCGCGAGGAAGGUGGGGAUGACGUCAAAUCAUCACGGCCCUUACGUCCUGGGCCACACACGUGCUACAAUGGUAGGGACAGAGAGCAGCCACUUCGCGAGAAGGAGCGAAUCUACAAACCCUAUCACAGUUCGGAUCGCAGUCUGCAACUCGACUGCGUGAAGCUGGAAUCGCUAGUAAUCGCAUAUCAGCCAUGAUGCGGUGAAUACGUUCCCGGGCCUUGUACACACCGCCCGUCAAGCCAUGGAAGCCGGGGGUACCUGAAGUCGGUCACCGCAAGGAGCCGCCUAGGUAAAGCAGGCUG